rnacentral:sRNA from 22 species
CAUAAACAAAGACCUCCUAACUUUGUUUAGAAAUCCUAAAACUUUUUCAUAAUAAUCUCCAAAACACCGCUGUUCUAUUAUGACAGUGGUGUUU